rnacentral:tRNA from 2 species
GGAGGGAUGUCCGAGCGGUUUAAGGAGGCGGUCUUGAAAACCGUUGUGCAGCAAUGUACCGUGGGUUCGAAUCCCACUCCCUCCG